UGGAGUGAUUUGUCUGCUUAAUUGCGAUAACGAACGAGACCUCGGCCCUUAAAUAGCCCGGUCCGCAUUUGCGGGCCGCUGGCUUCUUAGGGGGACUAUCGGCUCAAGCCGAUGGAAGUGCGCGGCAAUAACAGGUCUGUGAUGCCCUUAGAUGUUUUGGGCCGCACGCGCGCUACACUGACAGGGUCAGCGAGUACAUCACCUUGGCCGAGAGGUCCGGGUAAUCUUGUUAAACCCUGUCGUGCUGGGGAUAGAGCAUUGCAAUUAUUGCUCUUCAACGAGGAAUGCCUAGUAGGCACGAGUCAUCAGCUCGUGCCGAUUACGUCCCUGCCCUUUGUACACACCGCCCGUCGCUACUACCGAUUGAAUGGCUUGGUGAGGCCUUCGGACUGGCUCAGGAGGGUUGGCAACGACCCCCCAGAGCCGGAAAGUUGGUCAAACCUGGUCAUUUAGAGGAAGUAAAAGUCGUAACAAGGUUUCCGUAG
rnacentral:rRNA from 1 species